GACAAACGCUGGCGGCGUGCUUAACACAUGCAAGUCGAACGGAAAGGCCCUGCUUGCAGGGUACUCGAGUGGCGAACGGGUGAGUAACACGUGGGUGAUCUGCCCUGCACUUCGGGAUAAGCCUGGGAAACUGGGUCUAAUACCGGAUAGGAGCCAUUUUUAGUGUGAUGGUUGGAAAGUUUUUUCGGUGUAGGAUGAGCUCGCGGCCUAUCAGCUUGUUGGUGGGGUAAUGGCCUACCAAGGCGGCGACGGGUAGCCGGCCUGAGAGGGUGGACGGCCACAUUGGGACUGAGAUACGGCCCAGACGCCUACGGGAGGCAGCAGUGGGGAAUAUUGCACAAUGGGCGCAAGCCUGAUGCAGCGACGCCGCGUGGGGGAUGACGGCCUUCGGGUUGUAAACUCCUUUCGCUAGGGACGAAGCUUUUUGUGACGGUACCUAGAUAAGAAGCACCGGCUAACUACGUG
rnacentral:rRNA from 1 species